GACGAACGCUGGCGGCGCGCUUAACACAUGCAAGUCGAGCGAAGCUGCGGACGGGUGAGUAACACGUGAGUAACCUGCCUUAGACAUUGGGAUAGCCUCGGGAAACCGGGAUUAAUACCAAAUGGGUUAAGAUGGACUCGCGUCCCAUUAGCUAGUUGGUGAGGUAACGGCCCACCAAGGCGACGAUGGGUAGCCGGCCUGAGAGGGUGAGCGGCGACAUUGGAACUGAGAAGCGGUCCAAACUCUACGGGAGGCAGCAGUGGGGAAUAUUGCACAAUGGGGGAAACCCUGAUGCAGCGAGGCAGCGUGAACGAAGAAGGUAGUCGGAUCGUAAAGUUCUGUCCUAUGGGAAGCAGUACCAUAGAAGAAAGCUCCGGCUAAAUACGUGCCAGCAGCCGCGGUAAUUC
rnacentral:rRNA from 1 species